GAGGGGCAGCAUUCCAGCAAUGGAGAUGGCGACCGGCAAACGGGUGCGGAACACGUACGCAACAUACCUUUAUCUGGGGGAUAGCCCGGUGAAAACCGGAUUAAUACCCCAUAAGAUCAUGGGAAGGCAUCUUUCAGUGAUUAAAAAUUUAUUGGAUAGAGAUUGGCGUGCGUCCCAUUAGCUAGUUGGUAUGGGUAAUGGCCUACCAAGGCGACGAUGGGUAGCUGGUGUGAGAGCACGACCAGCCACACGGGCACUGAGACACGGGCCCGACUCCUACGGGAGGCAGCAGUGAGGAAUAUUGGUCAAUGGGCGAGAGCCUGAACCAGCCAUGCCGCGUGCAGGAUGACGGCCUUCUGGGUUGUAAACUGCUUUUAUCAGGGAAGAAAAGCUCGAUUUCUAUUGAGACUGACGGUACCUGAGGAAUCAGCACCGGCUAACUCCGUG
rnacentral:rRNA from 1 species